AUGGCCUGGAUUCCUGUCCUUCUUGUUUUGCUUUCUCAUGGCACCACCUGUGUCUGCGCUCACCUCUCUCGGCCCGUGCUGACCCGGCCGCCCUCCCUCUCUGCAGCUCUGGAAGCAACUGAUGGACUCACCUGCACCCUGAGCAGGGACAUCGGUGUGGGCGGCUCUGACAGCUACUGGAUCCAGCAGCAGCCAGGGAGCCCUCCCCGGUGUCUGCCGAGGUUCUCCUCAGACUCCGAGAAGCACCAGGGCUCCGGGGUCUCCGGCCGCUUCUCGGGCUCCAAAGACGCCUCGGCCAAGGCGGGGCUUCUGCGCAUCUUGGGGCUGCAGGCUGAGGAUGAGGCGGACUCUUACUGUGAUACUGGACAUGGCAGCCCUUAUAUGGACAAUGUCCUCCAGAACCUUGGGGAAGUGUGA